AUGCAUGUUGAUACUAUAAUGGAAUCUCGUGAUGCAACAUUUUUUGAGAACAUAUUUCCUAUGAAAGAUAUGCAUAGCAUUGCUAGAUUUUCUUCUGAGAUAAUUCCUGAAUCUAGUACAACUGAUGAAUAUUUCGAACAAUCACAUGAGGAAGUCCUUGAGAAGGAUAACAAUGAAGUUCCUAGAAGGAACAAGAGACAAAGGAUUGCAAAAUCCUUUGGUGAUGAUUUCAUUGUAUACCUUGUGGACGACACACCCAAGACGAUUGCAGAAGCAUAUGCAUCUCCGGAUGUAGAUGAUUGGAAAGAAGCUGUUCAUAAUGAGAUGGACUCAAUUCUUUCUAAUGGAACUUGGGAACUAACUGAUAGACCAUAUGGUUGUAAACCUGUGGGCUGUAAGUGGGUGUUCAAAAAGAAGCUAAAGCCUGAUGGUACUAUUGAUAAGUACAAGUCACGGCUAGUGGCCAAGGGCUACACUCAUAAAGAAGGCGAAGAUUACUUUGACACCUAUUCACCCGUUGCUAGAACGACCACCAUUCGAGUGUUACUUUCCUUGGCUGCCUCUUAUGGUCUUAUCAUUCAUCAAAUGGAUGUAAAGACAGCUUUUCUCAAUGGAGAGUUGGAAGAGGAGAUCUAUAUGGAUCAGCCUGACGGAUUUGUUGUAAAGGGUGAAGAGAGAAAGGUGUGCAAGUUGUUAAAAUCUUUGUAUGGUCUGAAACAGGCACCUAAGCAAUGGCAUGAGAAGUUUGAAAGAACUUUGACUUCUGCAGGAUUUGUCAUUAACGAGGCUGAUAGGUGUGUUUACUAUCGCCAUGGUGGGGGCAAUAGUGUCAUAUUAUGUUUGUAUGUGGACGACAUACUGAUCUUUGGUACAAACAUUAAUGCAAUUAAUGAGGUCAAGUCUUUUCUAUCAAAAAGUUUUGACAUGAAAGAUCUGGGAGAAGCCGAUGUAAUUCUAAACAUCAAACUUAUUAAGGAUGAGAGUGGGAUUACAUUAACGCAAUCUCACUAUGUUGAGAAGGUCUUGAACCGAUUCGGUUUUAUGGAUAGCAAGCCUUCUCCAACACCUUAUGAUCCCAGCGUGACACUCAGAAAGAACAAGAAAGAACCGAGAGAUCAAUUAAGAUACUCUCAAAUUGUCGGUUCACUCAUGUACUUAGCUAGUGCUACAAGACCAGAUAUCUCCUUUGCUGUGAGCAAACUGAGUAGGUUCAUGUCCAACCCGGGUGAUGAUCAUUGGCAUGCUCUAGAAAGGGUCUUGCGCUAUCUGAGAGGUACUAUGAGUUACGGAAUUACUUAUUCAGGGCAUCCUGCUGUGCUAGAAGGAUAUAGUGAUUCAAAUUGGAUCUCCGAUGUUGAUGUACUUUACGCAACAAGUGGGUAUGUAUUUACUCAUGGUGGUGGCGCAGUGUCAUGGAGGUCUUGCAAGCAAACCAUAUUGACGAGGUCAACUAUGGAAGCAGAAUUAACUGCUUUGGACACAGCUACUGUUGAGGCAGAAUGGCUGCGUGAGCUCUUGAUGGACUUGCCGGUUGUUGAAAAACCUGUACCGGCUAUUCUUAUGAAUUGUGAUAACCAAACGGUUAUCGCUAAAGUGAACAAUUCUAAAGAUAAUGCAAAGUCAUCAAGACACGUGAAAAGACGUUUGAAGUCUGUCAGGAAGUUGAGAAACUCCGGAGUAAUAACUAUUACGUAUAUACAAAUAGACAAAAACCUGGCAGAUCCCUUUACAAAGGGACUAUCACGAAAUGUGAUAGAUAUUGCAUCAAGGGAGAUGGGUAUGAGACCCAUA
rnacentral:rRNA from 1 species